UUUGAGAUGCGCAUAUGUGGUUAUCAAAAUCUUUUAUUAGACGUUAGACGAUACACAGCAAUGCUCACCUUCCAGGAUAUAAAACCUAUUACGAAUCUAAUCUGUCCCAAGUCUCUCCUACGGCCGUCCUCGCCGCCGCCGCCGCCGUCGCCAAGAACAAAGCUGUUCUCUUGCGUGCAGCUCCGAACAUCGUCGCCCGCGGCUGCUCAAGGUGAACCCUUUACAUGUUUUCUCGCGGCAGCUGUGCUCGCCUCCGGAAGAACCUGUGCGUCCUCACAACUCUGAUCUCAGCUGCUCGCCUCCGGAAUAGCCUGCGAGUCUUCGGAAUUCCAAUCUCAGCCACAGCCCUCGACGUGAAAUCUCGAGCUCUGGGAUAUCUCGAGCAGCCUUCAGUUUUACAUGCCACUACCAUCUAGCAUCUUUUGCAAGGCUAAUCGGUGGCGGGACAGACAACGGCAUCACCUGGUGCUGAACAUCGGCAAUCGAGUCUGGUAUCAUCCAUGUGCUUUUGAUGUUUUGGCCUUAAAAUCACUCUGACAUAACUCUUUAUCUCUCAUGUUUGCUAAUGUUGGACCUCUAUUGUUCAAUGGAACUUUCAGUUUAUAGGUCAAUCAAAUUAUCAUAUUUUUGGUUCUACCUUUCAUGAAUGGUAAAGCAUGGGAGGAUAUUACAGAUUUUUUUAAUUAUAAAAAAUCAUGGUCAUUUACAAAAGAGAGUCACGUUGCCAACACUAAAAUAAGACAAACGGAGAAAAACUGUCAGAAAUGAAAAACAAAGGAAUAGGUAGAAAACUAAACCGCAAGCUUUGGAAGAAGUUCAGUACUCCCUCGUCUCAUGUCUCAUAGUAUACGAUGAUAUACAACCAAUAUACUCCUAUAUUGGUUCUGAUAGCAUCUUAUAUUAUAGCUAGGUCAUACGGUAAAUAUGAUUUUGCAUUACAUGAUUUUAUUUUCUGUUCUUUCCUCUUUCACAUUUUAUUUUCUUUUAGCAGAAGACCCAUCUACUUGCUGGAAUUGGUCAUGUUUGGAGUGCAUUCUGCAUGUUCGAACUAAGAAGAUAUAUGCUUAUCCAGGUCUUCAAGGAUAGCGGGUUUUAUAUCGCGCAUGAUGUAUUAUUUAUGUUUGAUGGUUUUUUGCAGCCUUGGUCAAACCUUGCAGGGAAUGUUUGAUGCUGAUUUCACGUUACGACAGGUCCUGGUACGGUACCCAUUUUCUAGGCCAUCAUAUAGAUCAAAAAGAUGCAGGAACAUGGGAAGUUUCAGUUUACGCAAAUUUUCUAUCCUACCAGUAGGUGCUUGGUCAUUUGAGGUAAUGUAUUUAUGCACUUACAGUAAUUCUCUAUUUCGUACUCACAGAGCAUGCUCAUGGUAAUAUGUCACGGAUUUGUAUAGAGUACGAAAAAAAUAGGAUUACCAGCCGCAAUUUCAAAAAUGCUGCUUAUAACAAAGGUCAACAUAGUUUUGAUGUUGCUGCUGGCUGGCUCAGCGCUGACCCAUGCCCUGAAGAAAAAGGCCAGCGAGGGCCUGACCGAGUGGAGCUCUGCUGCUGCUGUGGUUGUCUGCCGCACUGUCACAAUGAGGCAAGACCGAGCUGGUGUAGCUGCACCUCGGGCGGGUGGAGUUGGCGCUGCUUGCCUCUGCGUGACGAGGAGGCUGGUACAAUAUUAGUAUGUUUUGACCACCAAUGAUUAACACGAAUCUAGACUGAUGUUUGAUGCAAAUGAGAAAAUCUGUUUGUGCUUAUAAUGUUUUGUCUGGCUGUUCUGGGCUUUUGGCAACGCAGUCCGUGAGAUGAAUGGGAAGUUCAGAUUUCUGCUGGAGCACUCACAAGUUUUCUAGCAAUAGAAGAACCUUGGUGCUAAUCACCUGAGCUAAUUAUAUGUUUUUUUUUAAUUUUGUUUCA